UACGUAGGGUCCGAGCGUUGUCCGGAAUUACUGGGCGUAAAGAGCUCGUAGGUGGUUUGUCGCGUUGUUCGUGAAAACUCACAGCUUAACUGUGGGCGUGCGGGCGAUACGGGCAGACUUGAGUACUGCAGGGGAGACUGGAAUUCCUGGUGUAGCGGUGGAAUGCGCAGAUAUCAGGAGGAACACCGGUGGCGAAGGCGGGACUCUGGGCCGAUACUGACGCUGAGGAGCGAAAGCGUGGGGAGCGAACAGG
rnacentral:rRNA from 1 species